UAAAAACAGGUGAUCUACCGUACCUUAAGUG
rnacentral:piRNA from 1 species